AAAAUCCGUACUGCUUGCGGGGUGUGUGGAUGUUAUUAGUGACACAACGAGUGAAAGAGAAAAGCUAGCUAUGGAAAAACUGGAUGAAAUAACAAUUGCCACACUGAAAGAAGCAAAUGUUGGAGAAGAUCUGCUGUUUUCACUUUCCCGAGAUGACAUCAAAGAUCUUUUUCCUGGUCCUGAGAAUUUCCUCAGGCGUCGAACUCUAUGGCUUGCAGUGCACAAACGAGAAGAAGAGGAGACUGUUGCUGUAAAGCCACCAUCAACCACAGAAGAGAGUGACAUCUCCAGAGAGGAACCCAACACUUCCAAGUUUGUGAUCAUGUCCAACCCAGAGUAUGUAGUCUUCACAGACAGUGAACUAGAGCAAGCUCGACGCUCAUACUUUGAAAAGAAACGGCUGGGAACAGAGUGUGCUGAGCCACUAUCAAAGGAACUCUUCUGUCGACUCAUAAGAAACACC